UCCCUGGCAGUCCAGUGGGUAGGACUCCACACUUUCACUGCUGAGGUCCCAGGUUUGAUCCUGAUCAGGGAA
rnacentral:tRNA from 1 species